GGCGGGGGCGCGGGGCGGCCAUGGCGGCUCUGGGGCUGCGCUGACCCGCCGUGACUCACCGCUGCGCCGGGGGGCAGCGCGGCCCUACACGCACCUGAGAGCCGCGCCGGAGCUGCCGGAGCCUCUGUUCAGCUCCCUCUGCCCGGCUCCCCCCGCCCGCUGCUCGGCCUCGGUUCCCGCGCCGAGCCGGGCGACCCGCAGGGUCCGGUGGGACACCCCGCACGCCCCAGCGGGGCUUGCACGGGACUCGCCGCCGCCCCAUCCCCUGCAGCCUCCGCCCGCCAGGGCUCCUCUAGGCCUCGUCACGCUGCCACCGCGGCCCUUCCCGGACACCGUCAGGCGCCGGUGCCGCGCUCGGCAGAGCCCGCGGUGCGGGGUCGGGGCUGAGACGGCCCUGCGGGACCGGGCCGGGGCUGACGGGCGCGGGCAGGCCCGGGCCGGGCUCAGCGCGGCGGGCAAGGCCACUGCCCGCCCUCCAGGGCCGUGAGGCACCGCCGCCAUCUUGGCGGGGCGCGGGCGCCGCCGCCGCGCAGGAAAUGGAGGACGCGGGGCCGUGAGGGCACCCGGGCCCCCUCAGCGCGCAGGGCACCGCCGGGCGCCCGCGCGGGGCUCCCACGCGCUACAGCCCAAAGACACGAGAGGAAAAAAGUUGUUUUGAGUCACUUAACAAAACUUACACUCGGACUCUGUGCCGUACGCAAAGCUCAGGAAUAGUGUUCCUGCUUGGUGUUCUGAGGAUGUUUACAUAAACCCUCUCCUUUGUGCCUGGGAACUUUGCAAAUGAAUUAGUGACCAAUUAUUGCCCCGAACGCACUCCCACGUUCAUGGCCUGGCAAGUACGACACACCAGCAGUGUCCAGCAUCAGUCGUCAUCCUUUUGUUCCAAGUCACACCGUUUAUGUUUAAAAAUCUUUCCCUCCCAGUCCAUCAGUUACAAGAAGGACCCGCCGAGCCCCGGGCUCAGGAAUAAAAUGUGGGGCUGAUCGUGGAGAUGCUUUGGACUGACCUUUCCUCAAGCUGUAAAUCUAAUAUUAUAGCACUAUAGUUAAGUUUCUUUUAUUAGACUAUGAGUAACAACGUAUGUCUUUUCCUCGUGUUAAGUGCAGCUCACUUAAGAUGGACUUUACGUGAGUUUAUUUGGGGUUUGUGCGCUGUAUUUGCGCGUCUGUCUGGUGCGUUUAUAAUGAGCUGUAUUUUCCACAGGGCUACACCCACUGUGCAUCAGCACGGAGGUGUGAAGAGGGGACCUCUCAGACCUAUCUCUGCAUAUUACUCUAUAAUGUCUGACAAACUUAUGCCAGGUCUUGUUCUGGCAUUUGUUUCACAGCACUGUAAAAAAUAUCAGUAUCACCAACAAGCUUUGAACCUGUAAUAAUAUUUUUUUCCAUUCAUUACUUUUUUUUGUCUUUACUGUCACGGUUCAGCAUUAUUUUCGUGGCCUUGGGUUGCCUCAGAUACAUUACAAUCCUGUUCACAAGUAGUUGCACUUUUAGUUUUCGUGGCUAGAGAUACAGGGAAGAAAAGUAAUGUGUGUAGCUAAGCAAGUGCUCAGAGCUUCUAAAUCAUGACUGUGUCUUCACUGCAUUAAAAAAGCCCAAUCAGACAACAGAUCAAUGUCACUCAGAAAGGCUACAGAGACAAAAUCACGUAUCCUCAAUUUUUUCAGCAAAUCUUUUUUUAAAGUACUAGAACCUGGUCUCUCUAUGAGUCAGGAAUUUCAGACCAACAAACCAAUUGUAAUACAACUUUUCUAACUUUUCUUGUGUUUCGCUAGUUGUACUUCUUGAACUGUCCAUGAGGCCAGGAAACUCCAAACUUAACUUUGGUGGAACCUGUAGACUUUCUGUCAGCAAAAGUUUUUGUGACUGAUAGAGAUGGUAAAUUGCCCUGAACAACGAAUCAUACACUGGACUCUCCCUUACUUGAAAUGGAAAGAGGGUGCAACUGUGAGUGAAAAUGCUUUACUCCAGAAGAGUUACUGCUGGUGGCACAUCAGUUAAUCACCCUCCCAAAGGGAACUGCCUCAAAUACAGCUCCAGUUCUUAUAAUACAGGAUAUUUUUAGCUGUGUUUCGUUAUAAUGGAGGAAAUUCUCCUCCAGCAGAUAGUAAGAGAGUCUUCUAACAGUGUUUAGUUUGUGUACUUGCCCCAAGAAUUAAUUUGGCUUGUUGUAUCUUAGUAAAGCUUGCAAUUCUUGUUUUUCAGGUUCCUCUGAUAUUUAGGCAUAGUCUUGCAGUUAGAGAACAAAAGUGAGAAGCAUGACAUCUAUUCCUGACUCAGUUACUUCCUAGAGAAAACAAAGGAGACAGAGAACAAGGUCUGCCCCUGGAUGCUGUGCCCUGCCCUCUGCAGCAAUGGAAUUCCAAUGGUCUAAGAGUCUGCAGUCAGCUCUGCGUAUUUAUUUGUUUAAAAAAGCCACAGUCAACUGAGAGCUGACACAACCCCAGUGAAAUCAGCUGCUGUACUGACAGAGGAGAGACUGCUUAACGUUUGUCCACGUCAGUGACAGUUCAGGAAGCAUCACCGGUGAUCGGAGGAGACUUCUGACAUGUAGAAGUGUGGCAUUUUACCCAAAAUACUGCAGAGGAUUUGGGAGAAUGAGCUUUCUAAAUUGAAGCAGGGGUCCUGUGGGUUGAAAUAAACCCUGAUAAUACAGUGGUAUCUCUGGAGUGGCUGGAAAACCCACGUGCACAUUUUGUGUGUUGCACAUAGGUUGUGAUGUGUAACUAAAUUCCUUUUGCCAAUGCCACAAGAAGACAGUGUGUCACUCACUGGUCCUUUGCUUCAGAAAAGAGGCUUAUAAUGGAAAAAUACUGCCAUUAAAAUUACAGGCUUGAGCACUGUUAUAGCCCAAAGUGGCAGAAACAAGCAAUGAGAAGGAGAGAUGUUCCUUCCUGUGUGCUCUGUGGCUUGACCAGCUGCAUAAGGAACAGAAAGGGAGAGUCACCAUCCACUCUGGUGCUCAAGCACAGCCAGGGGAAGACAAUGUGCCCAGUAAAAAGGGACUCUCUCUUGGAAGAGAGCAGGAACAGGCCUGCCUGAAGCACAGCUUAAAUAUUGGACGAGUUUUUAAUACAAAAUAGGAAGUGAUUCUUGAAGAUCAUAAAGACUGAUGGAGGAGUCAGAGUAAAUCCAAGUCUUUUGGCAUACAUGGAAAUGCUGUUUGAAUUUCUUACCCCACUACAUGAGCAACGAGACUUCACACGUCUAAGGCAUUUUUUCCCCAGUGUUUCGUGAUUAUUUGACCAACUUUACAACAUGUUGGGUGUGGAAUCAUAGAAUUGUUAGGCUGGAAAAGAUCUUCAAGAUCAUCGAGUCCAACCACUCCCCAGCACUGCCAAGGCCACCGUUAACCCAUGUCCCCAGGUGCCACAUCCACAGGAGAAGACAAACAGGUUCCUUGAGUAGAAACAAAGAUCUGCCUAAAAUGUGCCAGUGUUUCCAUUGUGGCCAGUGUUUCAAUUCUAGUUCUUUUAGGAAGACUUUACAAGAAGAGUAAAAAGCAGGAACAACCUAUAAUGUAAUUUUUAAGAGACCUGUCAGCGUAGUUUCUGUUUCAAUGCCAGCUAGAGAUGGGGGCAUAAAAUGUUUCUAUAGCCUGCAAAAGGGGACUCCCAAUACACUGCAUGAGGGAUCUAGGCAUCACUGGUGUAUUUGGCACAAAAUAUCAAAUUGUGUGUAUGGACUUCACAGCUGCAGACACCUGGUUUUCAAGACAUCUCUGAUUCCAAGUUGAUGGUAUGACAUAUACUAUAUAUGACUGGCUUGUUGUUAUAUAAACACUGUAAAAGUAGAGAGAGUCACCUAAGAGAAGGAUGGUAUUUGUUAUUCAAUAAAAUGGAGUAAAAAGCCUGUCAUUGCUCAUAAA